rnacentral:lncRNA from 1 species
UUCCUCUCCUACAAAACCUCUCACAUAUUCGUUCGCAAACGCCAGAAGGAAACUUACGAUGUGGAUAGUGAACGGAGGUGAGCGCUUCCGCCACUAGCAAUCAACAAACAGGAAUUCUGGAAAUAUCCUUUUGGUCAUAGUCCUUGCAAUAUGCAUCUAGGGUGGUAGUAUCCCUUUUGGAGAACAAUUGUCUAAGACUUCGGAUGAGGAAAUUGAAUCUAUGGUCCUAGACUUGAUGGAGCGUUGGAUUAAGGAGGUGUUUGGGGUCCGGACAUGAACUCCGUAAAGGUAUCUCAAGGAGCUAGCGAGAUUGUUUUUGCACAUGAAAAGCAGAUAAUUGUCAAAAGCCAUCAGUGAGAUACGAUAAUAUUAACCAUGUGUAACACAGACCGCGCCCGUGUAUCAGUCUAGUCUCUUAAUGACAUGUUUUUGCAAUGUAGUUCGUGCUGCUAUACAGUUGAAAUUUGAUUUUCAUAGGGCACUGUUUGAGUUAGUUUAAAGAACUUUUCUUCUCUACAAUUCCGGUUGCAAGCAUGGAUUGAAGAUGUUGGUUUGGGUUAGAAGUAUGAAGACAUCGGUCGGUUCAGGAAGUUAUUGUAUAUCACUUUCAUAUUUAGAGUUAUAUGUAUUGUUGUGUUAGAGGAAAACUUUUGUAAUAGUGUGUUACUUUGAAAACUUUGUAUUUUAUAUUCUUAGGUUGUAUUAUAUUCAUUCUAAUUAAUUUUGUUUUU